rnacentral:rRNA from 1 species
GAAUCCGAGCGACCGAAAGGCGCGAGGAGUUGUAGUGUACGGGGUCCCCAUUCCUUCGUCCAACGUUCGCGUGCCAAAGUCGCAUGGAAGGUGCUGUCGCUCCACAGCGGGUGUCAGACCCUUGUGGCUGCGCGUUCGGACGCAGGUCUGGCGGGACCUCGAGAGUCGGGUUGUUUGAGAUUGCAACCCAAAGGUCGGUGGUAAGCGCCAUCGAAGGCUAAAUACGUCCACGAGACCGAAAGCGCACAAGUACCGUAAGGGAACGUUGAAAAGGACUUGUGAUUGAUAGUUCAAAGUACGUGAACCUGCCUAGAGCGAAACGAGUGGCACCGCAAUAGCGGCUAGCGGCGUUCAGCCGUGCGUCACGAUCGCUUUCGCGCGAGUUGUGGUCGAGGCGAUCGGGCGGUCGGUAAUUCUUCCGACCGGCAGUCGCUUCGACUCGCGAGCUUGCGAGGGAGCGGUGAAGGAUCCCCGCGCGCAUAUUGGGCCUCGUGUCCGCACGCGGCCGUGUCGUCCUCGCGACGAGACGACUGCUGCGGGCGGCUCGAGCGCGGGCGUCGAUCU